rnacentral:sRNA from 10 species
AGCAGCACGGGAGAGCGACCCGUGGCUGGCAGACAAUCCAGCCCCCAUCCCACGGCAACUGUGGAUGGGGCUGGCUUUCUGCGCUUAACCCCGUCUUCCAAUAUCGGGAAAGAUUCAGUGCAUUGCACUUGAUUGCACAACUGCUCGCCAACGUUCGGGAACGGACCGCAUCGCUCGGGGCGAACAUCUUUCUCCUCGCGGCUCCGUAGUCCCG